rnacentral:rRNA from 1 species
GACGAACGCUGGCGGCGUGCCUAAUACAUGCAAGUAGAACGCUGAAGAGAGGAGCUUGCUCUUCUUGGAUGGGUUGCGAACGGGUGAGUAACGCGUAGGUAACCUGCCUUGUAGCGGGGGAUAACUAUUGGAAACGAUAGCUAAUACCGCAUAACAAUGGAUGACACAUGUCAUUUAUUUGAAAGGGGCAAUUGCUCCACUACAAGAUGGACCUGCGUUGUAUUAGCUAGUAGGUGAGGUAAUGGCUCACCUAGGCGACGAUACAUAGCCGACCUGAGAGGGUGAUCGGCCACACUGGGACUGAGACACGGCCCAGACUCCUACGGGAGGCAGCAGUAGGGAAUCUUCGGCAAUGGGGGCAAGCCUGACCGAGCAACGCCGCGUGAGUGAAGAAGGUUUUCGGAUCGUAAAGCUCUGUUGUAAGUCAAGAACGGGUGUGAGAGUGGAAAGUUCACACUGUGACGGUAGCUUACCAGAAAGGGACGGCUAACUACGUG